UUAGCGAUUCUAUGAUUCUAUGAUUGAUCCACAGUCCCAUAACAUUUUCCAGUAGUAAAAAAAAAAAGCUGAGACUUGUGAUAGCACCUGCAUUAUUUUAUCUGCAUAUUUAAGUUUGUUGUUGUUGGGGUUUUUGUUUUUUUGUUUGUUUGGCAAGUAAAAUAAUCAUUUUGGGGCAUUCAUUUGAUUCAGAUAUAACUUUCCUCUGCAUAGCAAUCAAUUCAUUGAUUCUGAAAAUGACUCAAUUGUGGACUUUUCACCCUCAGAAAAAGAAAAAGAUGUUCUGCAAUCUGACGACAGCACCAAACUAGAGGUGGUUCUGCUGCGUGAAGAAGCUUUAAAACACAUGGGAUGUAACUGUGUGCUCAAAACAGAUUAGUAAUUGUACAGGUCAGAAACAGAAGCGAAGGAAGCAGGGCCAGAGCAGUGACUGGAAAAAUCUGGGGCCUUGGUGACUAUGGGCAGAAUAAGGGUUCAUUGACUAAAAAGCAAAACAAAGCAAAACAAAUAACAACAACCAUAGUCUAGAAAAUUAUUUUAGUUACAGGGUUUAUGGGGCUCGCAGCAUAAAAGCAAACACUGUUAUGCAACAGAGAACAUGAUGAAUUUCACAUUAUAGUCAAGCUUUUUUAUACUUUUGAGUAACAUUUUCUUCCCAAAUCAAGGAAUUAAUAAUCAUUUAUUAAGUUCCCCAAAGUCUAAACAUCACACAAUCCUCCAAACCAAUGAAAUCUGGUUGAAUUCUAAUAUUUUAUUUGAAGAGCUUGACUUUACAGAUCAAAACUUGAAAAGUUUGUGUACUCACAUUAAUUUCACGGUCGUGUGUAUGGCACUGGAAAUUUAAGUAUGACCCUGUCUCUAAGAAGACUGAAUAGGUUCUUGCAAAAGUUCUCCAUCUUAUAGUGGCUUUUCAUAUUCCUGCUUCCUGUCCUGCCAGAGAUUUUGGCUAACAAACUGUGUAUACAGCAGUCUUUAGAAAAAUACACUACCUGACUAUAAACUUCCCGGAGUUGAACAGUUUUAAUAUUUUAACUUCUUUGUAUUAUUCAGAUUUCAAAGUCGUUUUCAUUCCAAUUUCUUUCUCGCUGUGGUCUUUUAAUGUAUGAUCCUACUGAAGUGACUGAAAAUUAUCACCUUGACAUUUUUGACACAUUGGCAUGAUAGAAGAAAGAGAUGUGGAAGUCUGUUGUUUUAUGGAGGUUUGCAGCCCACAUGCUUAUUACCAAAAGCUUCAGAUAUAUGUGGGUGUAGCGUACAACUUUGACUGCUUUGGCCGAAUGUUCUGGACUGUUGAAGUCUUCCGACGAUAGAAGCAAAGGAGAAAACCCAUCACUUUCUGUGGGGAAAACUGUCCUGCUGGAAGAGUAUGGAACAAUAUAACUGAAGCUGUAUUUAACUACUGCUUUGGAAUCUAGUACUGCACAGCUCUAUGUAAUCCUCCAGGCACUUUAAUCAGAGACAAAUUUCACCUACCAUGUCCAGCAAAUUCCUUCCUCUGACUGCUGAAAACUGCUGAUAAGCGUGUCAUUUAUUAUGGCAUUUGGCACCACACUCACAAAAACCAUUCAGGAGCCAUUUCAUAUCAAAGUGGGCAAUCGUACACAAUCAUUUCAGAUGGAAACCACAGGUCAUGUUGCCAGAUGGACCAAAAGAAGCGGUGAACAAAAAUAGCCUUUGAAUUUGAUGAGCAUACUGACGUGACCAGAACUCUCAUAAAUAUGCCCAUGAGCAGGCAUUGGCUCUGCCAUCUAUCGCACAAUGGAGAAUAGACAAACCUUGCACGAAGUUCUUCAAAAGAUUUCAUUUGCUCUGCUUUCAUCCAACGCUGAAUAAGAUUUACAGUAUUUGGGAUGAAGAUAUUCAGCAGGCAACAUUUUGGCAAAAACUGAGGAGAGAAGCAUUUUCUUCUUGAGAAAAUGCCAACAAGUACAUAAUUUUAUAACUUCAGCUCGUGUUUCCAAGUAUCUCUGAGCAGAGCACAUUUGUGAACAAAUAUCUGUUGAUUGUACCUUUACUCACAAGAAUAAAUCUCUCCCUUCCUUUUCCUGGACCCCUGCUUCAGUGAUAUUACAUAUCCUCUCUCCUUAA